CUACGGGGUGCAGCAGUGGGGAAUAUUGGACAAUGGGGGAAACCCUGAUCCAGCAAUGCCGCGUGUGUGAAGAAGGCCUGCGGGUUGUAAAGCACUUUCGGUUGGGAGGACUGCUUCUAGCACUAAUAUUGUUGGAAGUUGACGUUACCUUCAGAAGAAGCACCGGCUAACUCCGUGCCAGCAGCCGCGGUAAUACGGAAGGUGCAAGCGUUAAUCGGAAUUACCGGGCGUAAAGCGCGCGUAGGCGGCGAGAUCAGUCGGGUGUGAAAGCCCCGGGCUUAACCUGGGAACUGCAUCCGAUACUGUCUAGCUUGAGUACAGGAGAGGAGAGUGGAAUUCCACAUGUAGCGGUGAAAUGCGUAGAUAUGUGGAGGAACACCAAUGGCGAAGGCAGCUCUCUGGCCUGAUACUGACGCUGAGGUGCGAAAGCGUGGGGAGCAAACAGGAUUAGAUACCCCAGUAGUC
rnacentral:rRNA from 1 species